rnacentral:rRNA from 1 species
GAUGAACGCUGGCGGCGUGCCUAACACAUGCAAGUCGAGCGAUUCUCUUCGGAGAAGAGCGGCGGACGGGUGAGUAACGCGUGGGUAACCUGCCCUGUACACACGGAUAACAUACCGAAAGGUAUGCUAAUACGAGAUAAUAUGCUUUUAUCGCAUGGUAGAAGUAUCAAAGCUUUUGCGGUACAGGAUGGACCCGCGUCUGAUCAGCUAGUUGGUAAGGUAACGGCUUACCAAGGCGACGAUCAGUAGCCGACCUGAGAGGGUGAUCGGCCACAUUGGAACUGAGACACGGUCCAAACUCCUACGGGAGGCAGCAGUGGGGAAUAUUGCACAAUGGGCGAAAGCCUGAUGCAGCAACGCCGCGUGAGCGAUGAAGGCCUUGGGUCGUAAAGCUCUGUCCUCAAGGAAGAUAAUGACGGUACUUGAGGAGGAAGCCCGGCUAACUACGUGCCAGCAGCCGCGGUAAU